AAGUCGUAACAAGGUCUCCGUAGGUGAACCUGCGGAGGGAUCAUUAACAUACACAAAAUAUAUACAUAUAUAUUAUAUACUACAUAUAUAUAUAUUUGUAUAUACUAUACACCCAUGAACCUAUAUAUAUCACUCAACCCUUGGUAUGAGUGGGGACAUGUAGCUCCUCUCACUCACUUCUGAGUGUUUUUCCUAUAUGUAUCCCCCACUCAUGCCUCCCCAUUUCUCAACCCAUAUUUUUUCUCCUCACCUAUAUAUAUCUAUGUAUAUAAUACACUACAAUAUACUUAUAAAUCUAUAUAUCACUCCUAGCAAUGGAUAUCUAGGUUCUC
rnacentral:misc_RNA from 1 species